CUGGUUGGUUGUUGACAAGGAUGAGCCGGACGCAGCCUUGAAAGGCCAUUGUGGGACUGAAACAGCUGGAUUUGUUGUGGAAUACAGGACAUCCUGAAAAAUGAGAAGAAAAUAAAUGUGACUGUAGGUAGUUCGUCAGCUGGAUGGUGGAUGCGGGCUCACUGUCCAGGGUCAUGACGAUCUGCAGACCUCUAGCGUUGAGACUCACUGAAUGCCACAAACCAUCAUUCACCCUCUGACCUGUCAAUCAAAAUUGCCACGUACUGUUUUAAAGAACACACCGAAGGACUGGCAUAUAAAGUCAAGCUACAGAAGAGCAGAAAGGGGUUUACUCACCAGCUGACACUUCUGACAUCUUCAGAGUUAACGUCUGGUGUG